GACAGAGGGUGCAAGCGUUGUUCGGAUUUACUGGGCGUAAAGAGCGCGCAGGCGGUCGGAUAAGUCGAAUGUGAAAGCCCCCGGCUCAACUGGGGAGGGUCAUUCGAUACUGUUCGACUCGAAGGCAGGAGAGGGAAGUGGAAUUCCCGGUGUAGUGGUGAAAUGCGUAGAUAUCGGGAGGAACACCAGUGGCGAAGGCGACUUCCUGGCCUGUUCUUGACGCUGAGGCGCGAAAGCUAGGGGAGCAAACGGG
rnacentral:rRNA from 1 species